AGUGAACGCUGGCGGUAGGCCUAACACAUGCAAGUCGAACGGCAGCACAGUAAGAGCUUGCUCUUACGGGUGGCGAGUGGCGGACGGGUGAGGAAUACAUCGGAAUCUACUUUUUCGUGGGGGAUAACGUAGGGAAACUUACGCUAAUACCGCAUACGACCUACGGGUGAAAGCAGGGGAUCUUCGGACCUUGCGCGAUUGAAUGAGCCGAUGUCGGAUUAGCUAGUUGGCGGGGUAAAGGCCCACCAAGGCGACGAUCCGUAGCUGGUCUGAGAGGAUGAUCAGCCACACUGGAACUGAGACACGGUCCAGACCCCUACGGGAGGCAGCAGUGGGGAAUAUUGGACAAUGGGCGCAAGCCUGAUCCAGCCAUACCGCGUGGGUGAAGAAGGCCUUCGGGUUGUAAAGCCCUUUUGUUGGGAAAGAAAGGCAGCAGGUUAAUACCCCGCUGUUCUGACGGUACCCAAAGAAUAAGCACCGGCUAACUUCGUG
rnacentral:rRNA from 1 species